GAGUUUGAUCAAUGGCUCAGGAUGAACGCUAGCUACAGGCUUAACACAUGCAAGUCGAGGGGAAACGACAUCGAAAGCUUGCUUUUGAUGGGCGUCGACCGGCGCACGGGUGAGUAACGCGUAUGCAACCUGCCCUUCACAGGGGGAUAACCGGGAGAAAUUCCGACUAAUACCGCAUACGUCCUCCGGGGGCAUCCCCGGGGGAUGAAAGAAUUAUCGGUGAAGGAUGGGCAUGCGUGAUAUUAGGUAGUUGGCGGGGCAACGGCCCACCAAGCCCACGAUAUCUAGGGGUUCUGAGAGGAAGGUCCCCCACAUUGGUACUGAGACACGGACCAAACUCCUACGGGAGGCA
rnacentral:rRNA from 1 species